AAGUCGUAACAAGGUCUCCGUAGGUGAACCUGCGGAGGGAUCAUUACAGAGUUCAUGCCCUUACGGGUAGAUCUCCCACCCUUGUGUAUAUUACCUUUGUUGCUUUGGCAGGCCGUGGGUUCGUCCUACUACCGGCUCACGCUGGUAAGUGCCUGCCAGAGGUUCUCCAAAUUCUGAAUAUUAAUGUCGUCUGAGUACUAUACAAUAGUUAAAACUUUCAACAACGGAUCUCUUGGUUCUG
rnacentral:misc_RNA from 1 species